GCGAGCGUAGUUCAACGGUAGAACAACAACUUAGACUCUUCCCUUGAAAUCACUAUUACAAAUACAGGUUCGACUCCUGCCGCUCGCG
rnacentral:tRNA from 1 species